UCUGUUCAAGCCUGUAGUCGUGCCUGGUAGGUAAAUCCGCCGGGCUUAGAUGAGGGGUGAUAACGAGGAAGCUUGCUUCCGAAGUGAGUGAUACCCUGCUUCCAGGAAAAGCCACUAAGCUUCAGCUACACACGACCGUACCGCAAACCGACACUGGUGCGCGAGAUGAGUAUUCUAGGGCGCUUGAGAGAACUCUGGAGAAGGAACUCGGCAAAUUGACACCGUAACUUCGGAAGAAGGUGUGCCUUUAGUAGGUGAACCAUUGACUUGGGGAGCCCAAUGAGGUUGCAAAAAAUCGGUGGCUGCGACUGUUUAUUAAAAACACAGCACUCUGCUAAGACGAAAGUCGACGUAUAGGGUGUGACGCCUGCCCGGUGCUGGAAGAUUAAAUGAUGGGGUGCAAGCUCUUGAUUGAAGUCCCAGUAAACGGCGGCCGUAACUAUAACGGUCCUAAGGUAGCGAAAUUCCUUGUCGGGUAAGUUCCGACCUGCACGAAUGGCGUAACGAUGGCCACACUGUCUCCUCCAGAGACUCAGCGAAGUUGAAAUGUUUGUGAUGAUGCAAUCUCCCCGCGGAAAGACGGAAAGACCCCAUGAACCUUUACUGUAGCUUUGUAUUGGACUUUGAACAGAUCUGUGUAGGAUAGGUGGGAGGCUUUGAAGCAGGGUCGCUAGAUCUUGUGGAGCCAACGUUGAAAUACCACCCUGGUGUGUUUGAGGUUCUAACCUAGGUCCGUUAUCCGGAUCAGGGACAGUGCAUGGUAGGCAGUUUGACUGGGGCGGUCUCCUCCCAAAGCGUAACGGAGGAGUUCGAAGGUACGCUAGGUACGGUCGGACAUCGUGCUAAUAGUGCAAUGGCAUAAGCGUGCUUAACUGCGAGACUGACAAGUCGAGCAGAUACGAAAGUAGGACAUAGUGAUCCGGUGGUUCUGUAUGGAAGGGCCAUCGCUCAACGGAUAAAAGGUACUCUGGGGAUAACAGGCUGAUACCGCCCAAGAGUUCAUAUCGACGGCGGUGUUUGGCACCUCGAUGUCGGCUCAUCUCAUCCUGGGGCUGUAGCCGGUCCCAAGGGUAUGGCUGUUCGCCAUUUAAAGAGGUACGUGAGCUGGGUUUAAAACGUCGUGAGACAGUUUGGUCCCUAUCUUCCGUGGGCGCUGCAGAUUUGAGGAAGCCUGCUCCUAGUACGAGAGGACCGGAGUGGACACACCUCUGGUGUAUCGGUUGUCACGCCAGUGGCAUUGCCGAGUAGCUAAGUGUGGAAGAGAUAACCGCUGAAAGCAUCUAAGCGGGAAACUCGUUUCAAGAUGAGAUCUGCCGGGGCCUUGAGCCCCCUAAAGAGUCGUUCAAGACCAGGACGUUGAUAGGUCAGGUGUGGAAGCGCAGUAAUGCGUUAAGCUAACUGAUACUAAUUGCUCGUGCGGCUUGACCCC
rnacentral:rRNA from 1 species